UUCCGGUUGAUCCUGCCGGACCCCACUGCUAUCGGGAUAGGACUAAGACAUGCUAGUCAAGCGCUUUCUAGCUAAUGUGAGAGCGCGGCGUACAGCUCAGUAACACGUGGCCAACCUGCCCUUGGGACGGGAACACCCCCGGGAAACUGGGGUUAAUUCCCGAUAGGUGAAGAAGUCUGGAAUGAUUCUUCGCUCAAAAGACGUUUAUGACAUGCUCAUAUUCGUCGCCCAGGGAUGGGGCCGCGACCGAUCAGGUAGUUGGUGAGGCAAUGGCUCACCAAGCCUUUUACCGGUGCGGGCCGUGAGAGCGGGAGCCCGGAGAUGGGCACUGAGACAAGGGCCCAGGCCCCACGGGGCGCAGCAGUCGCGAAAAUUUUGCAAUACACGAAAGUGUGACAGAGCCAUCCCGAGUGCCAUCCGCUGAGGAAGGCUUUUACCCAGUAUAAAUAGCUGGGAGAAUAAGGAGAGGGCAAGUCUGGUGUCAGCCGCCGCGGUAAUACCAGCUCUCCGAGUAGUGUGGACGUUUAUUGGGCCUAAAGCAUCCGUAGCUUGCUAGAUAAGUCCUCUGUUAAAUCCACCGAUUCAAUCGUUGGAUUGCGGGGGAUACUGUUUGGCUAGGGGACGGGAGAGGUCGACGGUAUUUCCGGGGUAGGGGUGAAAUCCUAUAAUCCCGGGAGGACCACCAGUGGCGAAGGCUGUCGACUAGAACGCGCCCGACGGUGAGGGAUGAAAGCUGGGGGAGCGAACCGGAUUAGAUACCCGGGUAGUCCCAGCUGUAAACGAUGCAGGCUAGGUGUUUGGGCGGCCACGAGCCGCCCUAGUGCCGCAGGGAAGCUGUUAAGCCUGCCGCCUGGGGAGUACGGCCGCAAGGCUGAAACUUAAAGGAAUUGGCGGGGGAGCACCACAAGGGGUGAAGCUUGCGGUUUAAUUGGAGUCAACGCCGGGA
rnacentral:rRNA from 1 species